ensembl:lncRNA
GGCGGUGCACGCUGGUGGGUCCUGCAUCCUGAAGGAGCAUCUGGUAGAGAGCAGACGCACCUGAAGGGAUGAGCUCCGGCAUGGCUGGCGCCAACAAGGAGCAACCCGCUGGCACGAGGCGGAACAGGAUGAGCUUCUGCGAGGAUGGCCCCGCAGCGAGGCGUGCCUCCAUACCCACCUGCACCGACACCGAAGGUACACGGCUCCACAGCCACCACAGGAGCGCUGCUGCAGCCAAUCCUGGCACGCAGACGACACUUUCCAUCUGCCACCUCACUCCCGCCUGGCAGCGGGAGGGCUGCCGGGAAGCGGCAGGUGCAGAGUGUGACCUGCUUUUCCUUUGCCCUCCAGAGCGAGUUGCCGUCUGGGAUGCGGUGGCCGCCUACGUACAAGAGCACCUCCUGGUGCAGAAGGUACACGGCUCCACAGCCACCACAGGAGCGCUGCUGCAGCCAAUCCUGGCACGCAGACGACACUUUCCAUCUGCCACCUCACUCCCGCCUGGCAGCGGGAGGGCUGCCGGGAAGCGGCAGGUGCAGAGUGUGACCCGCUUUUCCUUUGCCCUCCAGAGCGAGUUGCCGUCUGGGAUGCGGUGGCCGCCUACGUACAAGAGCACCUCCUGGUGCAGAAGGUGGGUUGGCUGCCGGGUUCCUCCUCUCCCUGUCCUCCUCAGCCAAGACUUCCUCCCACUCUUCCCCUCCACAGAAAGCAGGAAACUCACCCCACGUGUCUCUACUGGGCAUGCCAUGGGCUUCCUGCAAAUCCCGCAGGAUCACUUGUGCUGGGCGCUGUCCUGUCUCAGGGCUGAUCCCGCUCGCGGGAAGCCUCUGGAUCCCAUCAGGCUGCUUCUGCCCUGACUGCUGUGCUGCAUUUGGGAGGGUGAGGGGAAGGAGAGGACUGUGCAGCCCCUUCCCAAAGCCAUUCCCGAUGCCCUGGCUUGUGCCUCUGAACAGCGAGAGAGGGCUCCUGAGCUCCGUCCCUGCCUUGGACCGCUACAUGGGCUCUUCCUCCAGCCAGCCGGCCCAUAACCCUGCCGCCCUUCCUUUCUCUACCACUUGUAGGGGGUCUGGAUUCCCACCUUCGGAUCCUUUGACACCAUCUCCAGAGACAUCAGGACUGAGGACGGGACCGUGACUCUGCGGUGGCCCGUCUUUCACUUGUCUGGAAACCUCAUAGCCGUGCACCACCUCAAGCCCCGCAGGGAGUCCCUGCCAGGUAGGAGGGAGG